CCUGAACGCUGGCGGCGUGGCUAAGACAUGCAAGUCGCACGGAGCCGGGUAGCAAUACCCGGUUUAGUGGCGAACGGGUGAGUAAUGAAUCGCUAAUGUACCCCGGAUUCUGGGAUAGCCAGUCGAAAGGCUGGGUAAUACCAGAUGAUAUAACCGCUUCGCAUGAAGUGGUUCUCAAAGGAGCAAUCCGCUCUGGGAGCAGGCGAUUUCGUAUCAGCNGUUGGUGAGGUAACGGCUCACCAAGGCGACGACGCGUAGCCGGACUGAGAGGUUGGCCGGCCACAUUGGGACUGAGACACUGCCCAGACUCCUACGGGGGGCUGCAGUAACGAAUCUUCCGCAAUGCACG
rnacentral:rRNA from 1 species